CGGUGUCUAUGAUCCUUACAUCAA
rnacentral:siRNA from 1 species